GCCGGGCUUGGUGGCUUGUGCCUGUAGUCCCAGCUACUCGGGAGGCUGAGGCAGAAGGAUCGCUUGAACCCAGGAGGCGGAGGUUGCAGUGAGCCAAGAUGGUGCCACUGCAUUCCAGCCUGGGUGACAGAGCGAGACUCUGUCUCAA
rnacentral:SRP_RNA from 1 species